rnacentral:tRNA from 1 species
GGGCCCUUAGCUCAGUUGGUUAGAGCAACCGGCUCAUAACCGGUCGGUCCUGGGUUCGAGCCCCCGAGGGCCCA